rnacentral:rRNA from 1 species
GACGGAGGAUGCAAGUGUUAUCCGGAAUCACUGGGCGUAAAGCGUCUGUAGGUGGUUUAAUAAGUCAACUGUUAAAUCUUGAGGCUCAACCUCAAAAUCGCAGUCGAAACUAUUAGGCUAGAGUAUAGUAGGGGUAAAGGGAAUUUCCAGUGGAGCGGUGAAAUGCGUAGAGAUUGGAAAGAACACCGAUGGCGAAGGCACUUUACUGGGCUAUUACUAACACUCAGAGACGAAAGCUAGGGUGGCAAAUGGG